CCGCCAUGGCUCGCGUGAGAGCGGCGAGGCGCCUGGCUCUCUGUCCUCCCGUGCUGGGAGUGGAGGCUGAAAUGUUCUCCUUCAAGAAAUGGACCGCGGUGGGCCUUGUGGAGCUGGGAUGUGGCGUGCCAUAUGUAGCAGGGUCCAGGUGAUGGAUGACUGUUUUAGAUGCCAAGCUGAAAACAAGAGGAUUGUGUUGCGGUCCGGGGAGAAUGUAAUCUUUUAUUCCACAAUUGCUGCAUGUCCCUGUGGAUGAAACAGAAUAAUCUCUGCCCUCUCUGUCAGCAGGACUGGGUGGUCCAAAGAAUAGGCAAAUGAGAAUGUUGGAAGGCUUUUUUAGCGCAGUUGUUCGCAGCCUUGGUCGAUCUUAUCAAGUGCCCUACAAAGGCUCGAACGCUCUCUUUUAAUGUUAUUUAAUCUAUUUGAUUAAUUCUUCAAAUAGGAGGAGGUGGGCCCGAGGCCCUUUGGCACUCAUCAAAGGCAUGGUUUAAGCUUUUUGUCAGUUUUAUUUUUGGAAAUUCUCUACAAGGAAGAAGAUAAUUUAUUAAAGUUUGGUCUUUCCUACCUCUGUGGUUUGACACACAGACACACACACCGCUCUGAAGUGCUGUAAAAGAGGAGAGAACUACAGAUCAAGUGACCUUUAUGAUUUACCUAUUGAUAGCCAAGGGGCUGAGGAAGUAUUUCCAGUCAGAGAACUUUUUCUGCUUAUGGUUGAUUAGUUUAAAAAGAGAGAAUGUUAUAGUAACGAAUAAAGUACAGUUUAAAAGCCCCAAAAUAAAUAAACAAAUUACCUUAAUUUGGGGGAUUAUAACUUAUACUGUUCAAAAUCAUUUGCAUCUCUACAAGAUGCAAAUGAGUAAAAGAGUAAAUCAAGUAACAGUGCAUUCCCCUAGAGAAUAAUCUUUGGGUGGGCCAGUUAGAUAAAGCCCUUUAAAUAAAGCUUCAGUCCAACAGGGAAAAGACAAGCAGUCGUCCUUUUUAAAAGCCUUGUUUCCAAGGCUAAAUUUAGGUAAUUUUUCUUAACAAUAGUCAAGCAUUGCAUACAUACCACCCACCUUAACAGACACAAACCUAAUCUGGUAAGAGCUGGUGGAAUAAAUAACCAUGAAUGAAUUUAUAGAGAGACUGCAGAAAUAAAAGAUAGGGAUUUAAACCAAGUCCAGUUUUCUACUUUAGCGACACUAGUGAAUCGGUAAAAAGCUAAAAUUGUGAUGUUGCUACAAACCUACAGAUUUUUCAGAUGUUUCAUUACUCACAAAGUGCUUUUUCCUUAGAAUCAUAAUCUAUAUAGAUUUAACUAGGCUAAAUAGUUCCAUUACUAAAAUAGAUUAAUGUGGUUAAAUGAAACCAUAAGGGCAUGUGAUGAUUGUUUUUCAGUCAUUAUAGGUUAUUAGCAUGCUACGGCCCAUGAAAUGUAUGCUGGCAUAUUGGACUACUGAAGUGACGCCACUAUUUCAUCAGUAAGGCAUAUUCAGAGUUGGCUUAACUUCAAGGAAUUUAGCACAGUUCACAUAUAAACCACUCUCCGACUGAUAGGAGUUUCCAAAACAGAUCAGAUUUUGCUUUUUAUUAAUGUCAUAACAGCUCAUUUGUAAUACCAUCCUCCCUAUUCAGGUGGUUUUUGAAAAGUGUCCUUUUGGUGAGAGAGAAAUAAAAGAAAACGAAUAUCAUAAUAGAACAAAGCCUGCUCUGAGUAGCAGUCUCCCCAAGGAUUUCAUUUUCUGAGUAGAGAGCAAGAUCAUUUGAUUAAAAAGCUCAGAUUUUCUGAAGCUUUCUAUUGAAUGUGUGUAACAUGAGCACAUUUCCAUAUUAAGGUUAUUCAGCUGUAGAAAACACAAGAUCUCACUCAAAACUUUUCCUUUAAAAGUUAAAUAAAAUCCAAGACACUGCAUAUUGGUGCAGUAAAGGACAAAUCUAAGGUGUUGCUCCCUAACUGCUUGGCUGUGUUUUUUUUUUUUUUUUUCCUGCAAGAAAGCAAAGACAUUUAGUGAAAGCAUUGUAACUCAAAAGCAUCACAAAAGCUAAGAAAUUUAAGUAACCAUGUCACAGAAAUAUGGGAGCAUAGAUUCUGUUGGCUAAUCCAAAUAAGAUAGUUAAUCAUGUUCCUGACAAUGUGGAAUGUAGAUUCGCCGGCUAUUUGUAGACUUGAGCAGGCAGACUGAGAGCUUCCUUAAAUACUGGAAUCUAGAGUGGCUUGAGGAGCUGUGAGUCAGUAAUUCCUGGAUCUACAGAUUUCUUGAACCAGUAAAAUUUCAACAAAAUGUUGAAGACCAACAUGGUGUUAACAACUUCUUAUUUUGCCAAAUAAUACUAUUGGGAGGAAAUCUGACUAUUUAUAAUUGUCAUUUCGUAAAAGAAAUGGCUUCCCAGAUCCUUUUUUUUGAGGCUAGUGCAUAAUUUGAUUCACCAGUGGAUUUGGCCUCAAGGUAUCUUUAGGUAACUUAACUUCUUUCUCAAACCUUUCAUCUGUGACUAACAGGCACACUGAAGUACCUGCCAUGACUGAUCAAAAUGAACACUAGCCCUGGGAUGGAUGAAUGUGACAGGACUAGACUUUGGCUCCAGAUAGGGGAUUGGUUCUUGAGAGUUUUUCUUUAGAAUCAUCUUGUUUUAAGGAGGAUUUUUUUUUCCAAAUGAUGAGAUAUUAGGAUACAUAGGAUCUUUGAAGAUCCUAUUCACAAAUGAGUCUACACCUUAACUAAUAAUAGCAUCUUCAAAGGUCGUAUUAACAAAUGGGUCCACACCUACAGAAGCGUGGAUUAAGACUUGAACAUGUCUUUAUGGAGGACAUGAUUCAAUCCUCAACACUGGAUUUUAGCGCCAUAGAUUCUGAAUGAGCUCUGAGAUGGUAGCCCUGGAAUCUCAGUUUUUAACAAGCAUAACAUGAUUUUGAUGCAGAUGGUCCAUGGAUCCCAUCUUGAGAAACAUUGUUCUAUAAGAUAUUAAAAAGUAACAUUUCUAAUAUCGUUAAUGACACAUUGGAUAAGUCAGAUCAACCUUUCUGCUAAACAUAAUGUAUUACACAUCUUCUUAAAAUCAUCAAAGAGCUAAAUAGUGAUUUAUUACAGGGUUGAAAUCCAGCAGAGAAUGGAAAUCGGGGGGGGGGGCGGUGAACCUGGAACCCUGGCCAUUUUUGUCUCGGGGUCAUUAGCCAAUCCUGAAGAGACAACUGAGGUCACGAGCUGUUUUCUUGACAACCUCCUGGGUGUAGAGGGACAAAAGUCAAAGAUCAGGACCUGCCAAGGGUGAAAACCCUUGUAAACCAUUCCCCCACCCCAUGCAUACACACACCCUAGGAAUAAGGGUGAACUGGAAGUGGCUUAGUUAAAAAAUCUGGAGUCUUGAACUUGGAAAGAGUCUUGAUCCUGGAAAAAUCAGAUGUAAAUCCUCUGUAGCGGCAGAUAACUUCAAAUUAUUUCUGCAAAUAAUUUUUCAUAUAUAAUGUCUGUGAUGGUUAAGUUCAUGUGUCAACUUGGCUAGGUUGUGGUACUCAGUUGUUUGGUCAAGCCAGUACUUGCCUGAUUGUUACUGUGAGAGUAUUUCAUGGAUUUAAAUCAUUAGUCAGUUGAUUGCAUCUGUGACUGAUUACUUCUGUACUCAGCAAAGAAGAUUGCCUUGUCAAUGAGAGAAGUCUCAUCCAAUCAAUUGAAAACCUUAAAAGGGAACUGAUGAUUUCAGCUGUCAGAAAGAAGAAUUUCUAUCUCUAUUUCAGCCAGCCAGCUUCUUCUUGGGAAUUCAUCAAAACCUUUGUCAGAGUUGCCAACUUGUGACCUGCCCUACAGAAUUUGGUUUGCCAAUCACUGCAGUCACAUGACCCAAUUCCUAUAAUAAAUCUCUUAAUUGGUUCUGUUUCUCUGGAGAACCCUCACUAAUACAAUGUCCAAAACACAAUCAUAGAUAACCAAGCCUAACAGGAGACAGAAAACCAAGAGCAAGAACCACCAAAAUAAAGAAACAGCAAAAGCAUACUCAAAGGAACUCCGGACAUUGGGUGAAUCUAAAGGAACGCUGACUAUGGGAAACAAUUAAUAUAAUGUCCUGUGGGAAUAGUCACUGAGCCCCACUGAGUGUGAGUUCAUCAUGUGACUUCCCAGCAGGAUACUACAUUUCCCUGAAGGCAUGCCACAGUGCCUUCAAGAGGUGGAACCGAUACUUUGACCAAGAGAAUACAAGUGAUGCAUGUUCUGGGCCUUGCCUUUAAGAGGACUGGCACUUUCUGCCUCCUGAUUCUUGGAGCCCCGAGCCAUCAUGAGAGAUCCAGGCUGCCCUGGCGGAGAGAAAAGCCGUGAGAGGGAGCAUAUUACGUUUUGGAAGUCCAGCCCAGUUGAGCCUUCAGAUCAUUGCAGCCCCAGCCACCGUCCGACUACACCACUUGGGAGACCCUAAUCAAGAACUGCUGAGCUGAGCCCAGUGGAUCCACAGAAUAGUGAGCGAUAAUACUUAAAUUUUUAUUGACAUAAUUUCAGACCUACAGCAAACUUGUAAGAAUAGGAGAAUGAAUUCCCAGAAACCCAGAAUCCCCAUAUGUUAAUACUAUACUAUAUUUGCUUGAUUCUUCUCUCUCACUCUCUAGUCUACCAUCUAUCUGUCUGCCUGUCUGUCUAUCUCUCUCUCUCUCUCUAGUUUUUUCUGAACUGAUUAAGAGGAAAUUGCAGUAUUGUCCUUUACCCUUUAAUGUUUCAGUUUAUAUUUCCUAAAAACAAGACAUUCUCUUACAUAAUCAUGGUAUAAUUAUCAACAUUAGUAAACUAAUGUGGCAGGCUGAAUUAUAUACCCCCAAAAAACAUGUUUCUAAUCUUAAUCUGCAACCUUGUGGGUGUGAAGCCAUUGUAAAUAAGACCUUUUGAAGAUACUAUUUUUAGUGAAGAUUUGGCCACCUGAAUCAGGGUGGGUCU